UACGGAGGGGGCUAGCGUUGCUCGGAAUCACUGGGCGUAAAGGGAGCGUAGGCGGGUCUUUAAGUCAGGGGUGAAAUCCUGGAGCUCAACUCCAGAACUGCCUUUGAUACUGAAGAUCUUGAGUUCGGGAGAGGUGAGUGGAACUGCGAGUGUAGAGGUGAAAUUCGUAGAUAUUCGGAAGAACACCAGUGGCGAAGGCGGCUCACUGGCCCGGUACUGACGCUGAGGUGCGAAAGCGUGGGGAGCAAACAGG
rnacentral:rRNA from 1 species